ensembl:misc_RNA 7SK 7SK RNA
UGAUUUGGUUAUGCAUCCCCAGCAUUCGACAUAUGUCCCACUCAAAGCCAUAGGCUUGGUUGCAGAGACAGACCAUCUACAGUAGAUGAGGGCUGUUCUUUUGUCAAGGCCGGCCAAGUGGUUGCAUUCCCUUGCUGGAGCCUCUGAGCUCCCAAGACCCAUGUAGGGAAACUAACUUGGCUCUAUGUCAGGCACCGUAUUAGAUACGUCAUGUACCUUG